GGAGAGUGGCGCACGGGUGAGUAACGCGUGGGGACCUACCUCUUAGUGGGGGAUAACGGUUGGAAACGACCGCUAAUACCGCAUACGCCCUUCGGGGGAAAGAUUUAUCGCUAUGAGAUGGACCCGCGUUGGAUUAGAUAGUUGGUGAGGUAACGGCUCACCAAGUCGGCGAUCCAUAGCUGGUUUGAGAGGAUGAUCAGCCACACUGGGACUGAAACACGGCCCACACUCCUACGGGAGGCAGCAGGGGGAAAUAUUGGACAAUGGGGGCAACCCUGAUCCACCCUUGCCGCGUGAGUGAAGAAGGCCUUCGGGUUGUAAAGCUCUUUCAGAUGCAAAGAUGAUGACGGUAACUUCAGAAGAACCCCCGGUUAUUUUCGUGCCACCCCCCGCGUUAAUAAAAAAGGGGCUAGCGUUGUUCGUAUUUCCUGGGGGAAAAGGGCACACAGGGCGGUCUUGCCUUUCGGGGGUGAAAAGCCGGGGGGCUUUAUCCCCCGGAAUUGCCUUCUGAUUCUGUGGAGACU
rnacentral:rRNA from 1 species